rnacentral:rRNA from 1 species
UACGUAGGGUGCAAGCGUUGUCCGGAUUUAUUGGGCGUAAAGAGCUCGUAGGCGGCUUGUUGCGUCGACUGUGAAAACCCGCGGCUUAACCGCGGGCUUGCAGUUGAUACGGGCAGGCUAGAGUUCGGUAGGGGAGAACGGAAUUCCUGGUGUAGCGGUGAAAUGCGCAGAUAUCAGGAGGAACACCGGUGGCGAAGGCGGUUCUCUGGGCCUGUACUGACGCUGAGGAACGAAAGCGUGGGGAGCGAACAGG